GACAGAGGUGCCGAGCGUUAGGCGGAAUCACUGGGCUUAAAGCGUGUGUAGGCGGAUUGUUAAGUACCUUGUGAAAUCCCACGGCUUAACCGUGGAACUGCUUGGUAUACUGUCGGGCUCGAGUGCGGAAGAGGCGAGUGGAAUUCCUGGUGUAGCGGUGAAAUGCGCAGAUAUCAGGAGGAACACCAAUUGCGAAGGCAGCUCGCUGGGACGUUACUGACGCUGAGACGCGAAAGCGUGGGGAGCAAACAGG
rnacentral:rRNA from 1 species